rnacentral:rRNA from 1 species
GAUGAACGCUAGCUACAGGCUUAACACAUGCAAGUCGAGGGACCGGCGCACGGGUGAGUAACACGUAUCCAACCUGCCCUUUACUCGGGGAUAGCCUUUCGAAAGAAAGAUUAAUACCCGAUAUAAAGGAUGGGGAUGCGUUCCAUUAGGUUGGUGGUGAGGUAACGGCCCACCAAGCAUUCGAUGGAUAGGGGUUCUGAGAGGAAGGUCCCCCACAUGGGAUCUACGGCCCGGUCCAAACGGGGAGGGGACGCUGCAGUGAGGUAUAUUGGUCAAUGAGCGCUGACCUGGCCCAGCCGCGUAGCGUGAAGGGUGCAGGCGUAGGAGUGGUAUUCCUCUGUGGUAUAAGGAUCGGUAUUAGAAGAAUAAGGAUCGGCUAACUCCGUGCCAGCCGCCGCGGUAAUAC